rnacentral:rRNA from 1 species
CGGUAAGGCCCCUUCGGGGGUACACGAGUGGCGAACGGGUGAGUAACACGUGGGUGAUCUGCCCUGCACUCUGGGAUAAGCCUGGGAAACUGGGUCUAAUACCGGAUAUGACCUUGGACUGCAUGGUUCUUGGUGGAAAGGUUUACUGGUGCAGGAUGGGCCCGCGGCCUAUCAGCUUGUUGGUGGGGUAAUGGCCUACCAAGGCGACGACGGGUAGCCGGCCUGAGAGGGCGACCGGCCACACUGGGACUGAGACACGGCCCAGACUCCUACGGGAGGCAGCAGUGGGGAAUAUUGCACAAUGGGCGAAAGCCUGAUGCAGCGACGCCGCGUGAGGGAUGAAGGCCUUCGGGUUGUAAACCUCUUUCAGCAGGGACGAAGCGAGAGUGACGGUACCUGCAGAAGAAGCACCGGCUAACUACGUGCCAGCAGCCGCGGUAAUACGUAGGGUGCGAGCGUUGUCCGGAAUUACUGGGCGUAAAGAGUUCGUAGGCGGUUUGUCACGUCGUUUGUGAAAACUCACAGCUCAACUGUGAGCCUGCAGGCGAUACGGGCAGACUUGAGUACUGCAGGGGAGACUGGAAUUCCUGGUGUAGCGGUGAAAUGCGCAGAUAUCAGGAGGAACACCGGUGGCGAAGGCGGGUCUCUGGGCAGUAACUGACGCUGAGGAACGAAAGCGUGGGUAGCAAACAGGAUUAGAUAC